CUCGGCUUCGUGUGCAGUGCCCGUCGGUCUGGGAGGUGCUCUCUGUAGCCCUUUCCAGGUCCUAGAAGGCAGCAGUGGCCCACCUAUUCCAAGUUCCAGACCGUCCAAGAAGGCUACAGUGGCUGCAGGGAAACAGACGAGGCAGGCCCAUUCAGCUGAGGGCUGGGCCUCGGUUCCUGCAAUUACCUGGGUUCACCAGAUGAUCCGUCAAGACGGAGGUGCCAAGCCCAGGAGAAGAGAAGGAGUUGCGGGUAGCAGGACUUGGUCUUAACCUGGACUUAGGAGGCGUGGGGCCCCCAGCCUGGUCACGUUGCAAGGACAUCUUGUGCAAGACACCCCGGGUGUAAGAUUAUGCAGAAUGUUUCCCUGAAUGAAAAGCUUCGUCCACAAACACUGAGGAAAAAUGUUGGGGUUUCCCUGGGUACCAUCCUUGGGCCACUGCUUGUUGCAUUUCACAUGCUCUCCGGAGAGUGAUGACUCCCAAACCUUGAGUUCCAGCCCUCCUUUCAGGGACCUCUUCCU